GCCUUCGUGGUGUAACGGUAGCACAAUCGACUCGUAUUCGGGAGGUCCAGGUUCGAAUCCCACCGAGGGCA
rnacentral:tRNA from 1 species